AUUGAACGCUGGCGGCAUGCCUUACACAUGCAAGUCGAACGGCAGCACGGGCUUCGGUCUGGUGGCGAGUGGCGAACGGGUGAGUAAAGUAUCGGAACGUACCUUUCAGUGGGGGAUAACGUAGCGAAAGUUACGCUAAUACCGCAUAUUCUGUGAGCAGGAAAGCAGGGGAUCGCAAGACCUUGCGCUGAUUGAGCGGCCGAUAUCAGAUUAGCUAGUUGGUGGGGUAAAGGCCUACCAAGGCGACGAUCUGGAGCGGGUCUGAGAGGAUGAUCGGCCACACUGGAACUGAGACACGGUCCAGGCUCCGACGGGAGGCAGCAGUGGGGAAUUUUGGACAAUGGGGGCAACCCUGAUCCAGCCAUGCCGCGUGAGUGAAGAAGGCCUUCGGGUUGUAAAGCUCUUUCGGCCGGGAAGAAAUCGCAUGGGCUAAUACCCUGUGUGGAUGACGGUACCGGAAUAAGAAGCACCGGCUAACUACGUGCCAGCAGCCGCAGUAACAC
rnacentral:rRNA from 1 species